rnacentral:rRNA from 1 species
GAUGAACGCUGGCGGCGUGCCUAAUACAUGCAAGUCGAGCGAACAGACGAGGAGCUUGCUCCUUUGACGUUAGCGGCGGACGGGUGAGUAACACGUGGGUAACCUACCUAUAAGACUGGGAUAACUUCGGGAAACCGGAGCUAAUACCGGAUAAUAUUUCGAACCGCAUGGUUCGAUAGUUAAAGAUGGCUUUGCUAUCACUUAUAGAUGGACCUGCGCCGUAUUAGCUAGUUGGUAAGGUAACGGCUUACCAAGGCAACGAUACGUAGCCGACCUGAGAGGGUGAUCGGCCACACUGGAACUGAGACACGGUCCAGACUCCUACGGGAGGCAGCAGUAGGGAAUCUUCCGCAAUGGGCGAAAGCCUGACGGAGCAACGCCGCGUGAGUGAUGAAGGUCUUCGGAUCGUAAAACUCUGUUAUUAGGGAAGAACAAACGUGUAAGUAACUGUGCACGUCUUGACGGUACCUAAUCAGAAAGCCACGGCUAACUCCGUG